UACGAAGGGGGCUAGCGUUGCUCGGAAUCACUGGGCGUAAAGCGCACGUAGGCGGCUUCUUAAGUCAGGGGUGAAAUCCUGGAGCUCAACUCCAGAACUGCCUCUGAUACUGAGGAGCUCGAGUCCGGGAGAGGUGAGUGGAACUCCGAGUGUAGAGGUGAAAUUCGUAGAUAUUCGGAAGAACACCAGUGGCGAAGGCGGCUCACUGGCCCGGUACUGACGCUGAGGUGCGAAAGCGUGGGGAGCAACAGGGAUUAAGAAACCCCAGU
rnacentral:rRNA from 1 species